UGCAAAUUGUGGAUAUCGGUCAUCAUCAGCUGUUGGACCCCAGGGUGUUGUACCUUGACAACAACAUCUCUUUUGUCACCUAUGAGUCUCGCUCUGUGAACCUGUGCAAUAGAAGCAGAACCGAGAGGAUCGAAAUCAAAACUUUCAAACAAUUCAUCAACAUUCUGAUUUAAUUCCUUCUCCAGCACAGCCCUGACCACAUUGUACGGUGUAGCAGGCGCUUGAUCACAUAGAGUAACUAACCUUCUCACCCAUGCAGCAGGGGCCAAGUCCGGUUUCCCAAUUAGUUGAGCAACCUUUAGGAAGAACCCACCAAGGUCAGAGCACAUAUUAUAUAUCUUCUCAGCUGCAACCUCAUGCUGCCUCUCCCACAUUGCUUCUUGUUUUUGCACAUCCUUUUCAA
rnacentral:misc_RNA from 1 species